ensembl:lncRNA
GCCCUCCCACGGGCAGCAUCCAGGGCCAAGGCCCGUUCAGCCUCACGUUUGCGACUCUGUUUUCCUUUCAAGGCUUUCCAUCCGGGAAACCCUCUGUCGCUGAUCAGACGGUCGCGAAGAGUCAUGAGCACACGGGGAGGGAGAAGCUCUGCAGACCCUGGACCCCGCUUGGCUCGACCUCCUCCGCAGAGCUUGUCCUUGGCUUGCAGCGGCGGAGACCACGCGCGACAGAAGCAGAAAAGCCUCGGGAGCAGGUUCCACCGGAGACCUCGAGCCGGCCGGGGCGCACAGGCUGUCGGAGCUGCAGAGCUCUGGAGCCUUCCGUUAAGAACUUAUUAAGGGGGUUGGGGAUUUAGCCCAGUGGUAGAGCGCUUGCCUAGCAAGCUCAAGGCCCUGGGUUCUGCCCCCAGCUCCGAAAAAAAGAAAGAAAGAAAAAAAAAGAACUUAUUAAGUGGGAGGUGGUUAAGAGUUGAUCUGUCGCAGAGCGCUACUUACCCCAGAUCUUUGAGAUUUUUGAAUUACUUUUAUUGAUCUGUAGACUGUGUUCUUUGGAAUGUGACCCCGUCGGACUUCGAGUUAAUCAGGAAGCGCUGCCGGGGAGGGUUCCUUGUCAUCACCCCCGGACCUCCCCCACCGCGGGCACACUCCCCACCCCACCCUUAAUAGCAGCCUGGGCCGUGCCUGGAACCGCCAGCCCUUGGAACCCGCCCCACUGCGCGACCGGGAGCUGUCUGUGGUGCUAGGAAAGAGAACCUGGGAGAUCGCCCGGAGGAGGGACAGGCUUGAAGAGGUAAAGAGGAAGAAACAGAAUGGCAGCUCACCCAAAAAGGCUCAAAAUGGCUGAGGCCUUUCACAUUCGAAGCGAGGAAAAGAUGUCCUACAGCCCUGGAGCCCACCAACACCCAGUCUGGGUUUCCACACCUACUCCCGUUCAGACAGAAGCAAGUUGUCUUCUACAGGCGAUAUGGAAGAGUGCUGGGCACUGGGACCCAACUCAAAAAAAAAAAAAUACUCAAGUGACAGAGAAGACUAAAGACCCCCCAGAAAGUAUUCUCGAACAAAGUGAGAGAAGACUCCUAAAGAAGUUCAUCCAGGGUCAGACCUGGAGAUGACCCCAUUCGCCCACAACUGCCUGUGGUCAGCCACCAGGACACAGGGUGGGCCAGCUUCCCCCAACAAGGGUUCAAAGCUGCCCAGGAAAGCCUGGUUCAUCUUCUCCAGAACUGUUUGUGAGUGGUGAAAAGUCAGGGCUUGUUCUCCAAGCUUGCUGACUUCAAGCCCUGCCUGGCUUUUUCUUCCAGUGUAUUCUUUGUAACCUCAUGGUUUAACAAGCACUGAAGUUUCCCUAGCCCUGGGGAGGGCUUUUCCCAAUGUCUUUAGAAAGUUAAAAAUAUAACAAACCAAACUAGUCCCAAGCCACCUUGUUUAAGGGGUGGGAGUCGAACUUACUCUCCUCAUGGG